rnacentral:snoRNA from 1 species
AUGGAUGUGAUGAUUAUUUCCCCAGAUGAUCGAAUCUGAAAUAGCUGAGCGCUCAUUUCAUGUUUCUCCUUUUGGAGAAAUUCAAGCCAGAAAUCUGAUCCAU